AUACUCACCUGGCAGGGGAGAUGCCACAUCACGAAGGUGGUUUUCCCAGGGCGGGGCUUAUGCCUUGCACUCCAGGUGUGCUGACCCCUGCGGUUUCCCCAAAUGCGGGAGACGCAACUGCAUAUUUGUGGUAGUAGAGGACUGCGUUCAAGCUCCCCUGGC